rnacentral:rRNA from 1 species
GACGAACGCUGGCGGCAUGCCUAAUACAUGCAAGUAGAACGCUGAAGGAGGAGCUUGCUCUUCUGGAUGAGUUGCGAACGGGUGAGUAACGCGUAGGUAACCUGCCUGGUAGCGGGGGAUAACUAUUGGAAACGAUAGCUAAUACCGCAUAAGAGUAGAUGUUGCAUGACUUUUACUUAAAAGGUGCAAUUGCAUCACUACCAGAUGGACCUGCGUUGUAUUAGCUAGUUGGUGGGGUAACGGCUUACCAAGGCGACGAUACAUAGCCGACCUGAGAGGGUGAUCGGCCACACUGGGACUGAGACACGGCCCAGACUCCUACGGGAGGCAGCAGUAGGGAAUCUUCGGCAAUGGACGGAAGUCUGACCGAGCAACGCCGCGUGAGUGAAGAAGGUUUUCGGAUCGUAAAGCUCUGUUGUAAGAGAAGAACGAGUGUGAGAGUGGAAAGUUCACACUGUGACGGUAUCUUACCAGAAAGGGACGGCUAACUACGUG